rnacentral:rRNA from 1 species
CCUACGGGAGGCAGCAGUGGGGGAUAUUGCACAAUGGGGGGAACCCUGAUGCAGCGACGCCGCGUGGGUGAAGAAGCGCCUCGGCGCGUAAAGCCCUGUCAGCAGGGAAGAAAAUGACGGUUACUGGAGAAGAAGCCCCCGCUAACUACGGUCCAGCAGCCGCGGUAAUACGUAGGGGGCAAGCGUUAUCCGGAUUUACUGGGGGUAAAGGGGGCGCAGACGGCAAUGCAAGCCAGGAGUGAAAGAACGGGGCCCAACCCCGGGACUGCGUUUGGAACUGCGUGGCUGGAGUGCAGGAGGGGCAAGCGGAAUUCCUGGUGUAGCGGUGAAAUGCGUAGAUAUUAGGAGGAACACCAGUGGCGAAGGCGGCUUGCUGGACUGUAACUGACGUUGAGGCCCGAAAGCGUGGGGAGCAAACAGGAUUAGAUACCCGGGUAGUC